CGGAGGGGGCUAGCGUUGUUCGGAAUUACUGGGCGUAAAGGGCGCGUAGGCGGCGUAUCAAGUUGGGAGUGAAAGCCUGGGGCUUAACCUCAGAAUUGCUUUCAAAACUGAUAUGCUUGAGAACGGUAGAGGAUGGUGGAAUUCCUAGUGUAGAGGUGAAAUUCGUAGAUAUUAGGAGGAACACCGGUGGCGAAGGCGGCCAUCUGGGCCGAUUCUGACGCUGAGGCGCGAAAGCGUGGGGAGCAAACAGGAUUAGAUACCCUGGUAGUCCACGCUGUAAACGAUGAGUGCUAGAUAUUGGGACGUUAAGUCUUGGUGUCGCAGCUAACGCAUUAAGCACUCCGCCUGGGGAGUACGGUCGCAAGAUUA
rnacentral:rRNA from 1 species